rnacentral:rRNA from 1 species
ACUCGAGUGGCGAACGGGUGAGUAACACGUGGGUGAUCUGCCCUGCACUUCGGGAUAAGCCUGGGAAACUGGGUCUAAUACCGGAUAGGAGCCAUUUUUAGUGUGAUGGUUGGAAAGUUUUUUCGGUGUAGGAUGAGCUCGCGGCCUAUCAGCUUGUUGGUGGGGUAAUGGCCUACCAAGGCGGCGACGGGUAGCCGGCCUGAGAGGGUGGACGGCCACAUUGGGACUGAGAUACGGCCCAGACUCCUACGGGAGGCAGCAGUGGGGAAUAUUGCACAAUGGGCGCAAGCCUGAUGCAGCGACGCCGCGUGGGGGAUGACGGCCUUCGGGUUGUAAACUCCUUUCGCUAGGGACGAAGCUUUUUGUGACGGUACCUAGAUAAGAAGCACCGGCUAACUACGUGCCAGCAGCCGCGGUAAUACGUAGGGUGCGAGCGUUGUCCGGAAUUACUGGGCGUAAAGGGCUCGUAGGUGGUUUGUCGCGUCGUCUGUGAAAUUCCGGGGCUUAACUCCGGGCGUGCAGGCGAUACGGGCAUAACUUGAGUACUGUAGGGGUAACUGGAAUUCCUGGUGUAGCGGUGAAAUGCGCAGAUAUCAGGAGGAACACCGAUGGCGAAGGCAGGUUACUGGGCAGUUACUGACGCUGAGGAGCGAAAGCAUGG